rnacentral:rRNA from 1 species
ACGCUCGACACCUACGGGAGGCAGCAGUGGGGAAUAUUGCACAAUGGGGGAAACCCUGAUGCAGCGAUGCCGCGUGAAGGAAGAAGUAUCUCGGUAUGUAAACUUCUAUCAGCAGGGAAGAAAAUGACGGUACCUGACUAAGAAGCCCCGGCUAACUACGUGCUAGCAGCCGCGGUAAUCUGAGCGGCUGGCAAGGC